rnacentral:misc_RNA from 1 species
UUUCCGUAGGUGAACCUGCGGAAGGAUCAUUACCUAGAGUUGUAGGCUUUGCCUGCUAUCUCUUACCCAUGUCUUUUGAGUACCUUCGUUUCCUCGGUGGGUUCGCCUGCCAAUGGGGACCACUUUAAAACCUUUUAUGUAUGCAGUAAACGUCUACAAAUAAAUGAAAUCAAAACUUUCAACAACGGAUCUCUUGGUUCUGGCAUCGAUGAAGAACGCAGC